rnacentral:rRNA from 1 species
GAUGAACGCUGGCGGCGUGCCUAAUACAUGCAAGUCGAGCGAACAGAUGAGGAGCUUGCUCCUCUGACGUUAGCGGCGGACGGGUGAGUAACACGUGGAUAACCUACCUAUAAGACUGGGAUAACUUCGGGAAACCGGAGCUAAUACCGGAUAAUAUAUUGAACCGCAUGGUUCAAUAGUGAAAGACGGUUUUGCUGUCACUUAUAGAUGGAUCCGCGCCGCAUUAGCUAGUUGGUAAGGUAACGGCUUACCAAGGCAACGAUGCGUAGCCGACCUGAGAGGGUGAUCGGCCACCCUGGAAGUGAGACACGGUCCAGACUCCUACGGGAGGCAGCAGUAGGGAAUCCUCCGCAAUGGGCGAAAGCCUGACGGAGCAACGCCGCGUGAGUGAUGAAGGUCUUCGGAUCGUAAAACUCUGUUAUUAGGGAAGAACAAAUGUGUAAGUAACUAUGCACGUCUUGACGGUACCUAAUCAGAAAGCCACGGCUAACUACGUG